CCCCUCUCAGGGUCGCACCUGGAGAGUUUCCAGGACUCUACCAGUCUCGGCUAAGGGAGGGAGAGACAAGCAGAGGCCUACCCAUUCCAUUCUUAACUUGGCCAGUGGCUAGUGGGUGGAAGGUAAUCUGCUACAAGU
rnacentral:snoRNA from 2 species